rnacentral:rRNA from 1 species
GACGAACGCUGGCGGCGUGCUUAACACAUGCAAGUCGAACGGUAAGGCCCUUCGGGGUACACGAGUGGCGAACGGGUGAGUAACACGUGGGUGAUCUGCCCUGCACUUCGGGAUAAGCCUGGGAAACUGGGUCUAAUACCGGAUAGGACUCCUGGCUUCAUGGUUGGGGGUGGAAAGCUUUUGCGGUGUGGGAUGGGCCCGCGGCCUAUCAGCUUGUUGGUGGGGUAAUGGCCUACCAAGGCGACGACGGGUAGCCGGCCUGGGAGGGCGACCGGUCACACUGGGACUGAGAUACGGCCCAGACUCCUACGGGAGGCAGCAGUGGGGAAUAUUGCACAAUGGGCGCAAGCCUGAUGCAGCGACGCCGCGUGAGGGAUGACGGCCUUCGGGUUGUAAACCUCUUUCAGCUAUGACGAAGCGCAAGUGACGGUAGUAGCAGAAGAAGGACCGGCCAACUACGUGCCAGCAGCCGCGGUAA